rnacentral:rRNA from 1 species
UACAGAGGUCUCAAGCGUUGUUCGGAUUCAUUGGGCGUAAAGGGUGUGUAGGUGGCGCUGUAAGUCGGGUGUGAAAUUUCGGAGCUUAACUCCGAAACUGCAUUCGAUACUGCGGUGCUUGAGGACUGGAGAGGAGACUGGAAUUCAUGGUGUAGCAGUGAAUGCGUAGAGAUCAUGAGGAAGACCAGUGGCGAAGGCGGGUCUCUGGACAGUUCCUGACACUGAGACACGAAGGCCAGGGGAGCAAACGGG